rnacentral:rRNA from 1 species
GUUCCUACGGGGCGCAGCAGUGGGGAAUAUUGCACAAUGGGGGGAACCCUGAUGCAGCGACGCCGCGUGGGUGAAGGAGUACUUCGGUACGUAAAGCCCUAUCAGCAGGAAAGAAAAUGACGGUACCUGACUAAGAAGCCCCGGCUAACUACGUGCCAGCAGCCGCGGUAAUACGUAGGGGGCAAGCGUUAUCCGGAUUUACUGGGUGUAAAGGGAGCGCAGGCGGCACGGCAAGCCUGAUGUGAAAGCCCGCGGCCCAACCGCGGGACUGCAUUGGGAACUACCGGGCUGGAGUGCCGGAGAGG